rnacentral:rRNA from 1 species
GACGAACGCUGGCGGCGUGCCUAAUACAUGCAAGUAGAACGCUGAAGGAGGAGCUUGCUCUUCUGGAUGAGUUGCGAACGGGUGAGUAACGCGUAGGUAACCUGCCUGGUAGCGGGGGAUAACUAUUGGAAACGAUAGCUAAUACCGCAUAACAGUAGAUGUUGCAUGACAUUUGCUUAAAAGGUGCAAUUGCACCACUACCAGAUGGACCUGCGUUGUAUUAGCUAGUUGGUGGGGUAACGGCUCACCAAGGCGACGAUACAUAGCCGACCUGAGAGGGGGGUCGGCCACACUGGGACUGGGACACGGCCCAGACUCCUACGGGAGGCAGCAGUAGGGAAUCUUCGGCAAUGGACGGAAGUCUGACCGAGCAACGCCGCGUGAGUGAAGAAGGUUUUCGGAUCGUAAAGCUCUGUUGUAAGAGAAGAACGAGUGUGAGAGUGGAAAGUUCACACUGUGACGGUAUCUUACCAGAAAGGGACGGCUAACUACGUG